rnacentral:lncRNA from 1 species
GGCAAAGAUUAGACAGGUCCAGAGCUGAGCGACGGUGAUAGAGGAACCGACGGUGGUCUCCGUCCGGCCACCGAUCGGUGGUCAAGGUCCGGUGGUUUUGACGCAGAAACAACGGUAGAAGGCGGUGGUGCUUAAGGGUUCCGCUGUGACACUAUGACGACGACGAUAAUAAACUUCCCUUUAAAGCGAUGCCAAAGUAGUGGCGCUGACUUCCGGCCUUCUGCUCAGGUCAUCGGCCCAUGACUUCCGACCUUCCGACUUCCCUAUCAGUGUGAUGCCUUGACAUCUUGAAAGCGCUGCUCCAUUCAGGAAUAGGUUAUGAUGGUGGUCUGCAAUGGUGACCAUUGGCGACGGAGAUGCCGCUAAAACAAAUAACAGAUGGUGGUGGUCUGUAACGAUCCCGUAUAUGGUGGUGUUGGAAGCUGCUAAAGGGACUACGAGACAGUUUGGAGACGGGUCAGAGCUGAGUCAAACGUAGUCAACUCAGUCAGCAGAGGUGUCUAUCAUUUAACCACAUACAUGUAAUUAUCUUCGGGCCUUCCGGUGAACAACGCGAUGGCCCAUUUCACAAGGGUUCAAAGCAUGUUUCUCGAUCAUUGAAUCUGUUAUUACGCUUUUUGCUACUUUUGGAAGCGUUUCUCUGCCGCUACUGCGACAGUUUACUUCUAAAAAACAAAGACAACAUCAGGCAGUAGCUAGCGAUGGACGAUGUAGAAGGUUGGCUGGGCGUUUCUGCUUGAUGGUAUGAUUUCGUUAAUUUCGGCAAACUGUUAUUUAUUUAGUCAGAUUUCAACGUUUUUUAGUUUUCUCUGUGGUUGUAUGUCAACAUAUAAAACUUGAUUCAGUGUGUUUGUUCCAUUCUAAUUCAGUCAAUUUGCAGUUCAACAUCCUAUUCCCUAAUCUUCGUGUCAAUAUAAUUAAUUCGCUCUUGGAAACUAAAUAUGUUGUUUGAUUGAUUAUUCAAUAAAAAAGCACUUGAAUUAGCUACAUCUCAGAUUAAAUUGAUGAAAAAUAACAAAGGAGUCCAUAUUAGUUAGACGAAGAGGGAGCUGGCUCAGUUGGUUGACACCGGUAGGACCGUGCGACCAGGGCCGGCUCUAUAGGCUUGGCAACUUAGGCACGGGCCUAGGGCCACCAAAAAGUAUGGGCCUCCAAGUUUUUAAAAAAAUUUAUAUAUACUAUAUGUAUGUAUUAGGCCCAAAUAAAUACGUUUAUUUCAAAACUAAACUGAUUUUUCAUUAAAGGAGUCCAAAAUAAAUAUUGUUUAGCAAACAAAGGUCUAGUUUCAAAACCCAUUUCGCCUUGAUUUCCAACUAUUACAACACAACAACCAUCGACCUAAUCAUCAAUAUUUAGCAGUCUAAAGCCCCUAAAUACAGCCGCAAUCAUCGUUCCCACUUCCCAUCGCAACUUGCUUUCAAUUUCUAGGCUAGCGGCUAUCACUAGACGAAAAAAGUAAGGGCAAUCACCCAUUGCGUCGGGAUUGGAGGAGAGUUUAUCGGCGAAAUUAGGGCCCCUACUUUAGAGUUCGCUUAGGGUCUCCAAAAAACGUAGGAACGGCCCUGCGUGCGACACAAAUUUCGGUUGGACAUGUAACUUGGGAAGCCAAGAUGGCGGUUGCAUAUGAUUUGAUUGAUGUUAGGUCCAAAAGUUUUAUGCUUUAUCUUUAUUACGUUUAUUUGGUUUAGAUUAGUUUUGGGCUUGGGCUUAGGCCAUGUGGGCCAAUGGGUAGUGGCUUCUAUAUAUAGUCCUUAUUAGAAUAUUGUAGUGAGAGCUUUCCCAUUCUUGUAAUGAGGUAGCCCCAAUAGAGAACCUUGUACCCGACAAUCCUACGGAUUGUGUGCAAGGUUCUCGAAGAUCGUACCAGACGGUUCGUUGAAACCGUGUGCGAUCUAAUCAGCGACACUACGUUAUUUAAUAAUAUUUUCUUUUGUUCUUGUCGGUUUGAUCUUACUUUCCGCAUUCGAUCGAAUCGUUGAGUGAUAUCACGGGUUAUUCGGGACCUACAAUUGAGAUACACCUGAGUCCAAAAACAUUGCAUCAAAAUUGAUGCUCGAACACUCACCAGAGAAAGGAGGUGCACUUUAUGGUAAGUUGAGAGUUAGCCAACAAGAACCAUCAUGUCCAGUUAGCUGAUUUUGUAGAAAGCAGCUUCUUGGUGAACAGUCGUAUAUGAGGCUGCUGCUGAUCCAUGAUUAUGAAGGUUUUGAGGUCACUUGGAUAUUAGUUGAUCGGCUAGGUGUAUUGUAAGUGCUAUGGUUUUUUCAAGUGCUUGACCUUAUUUUGGUUCAAUUGUAAGAACGCCAGUUUGAGUCUAAUAAUAUGUGGCUAUAAUUU